rnacentral:lncRNA from 1 species
GGGGUCUGUUACAUGUAGUUGUUUGUCCAUGAGGGUCAUUAAUUCAUAUGGUGAAUUUAGGUUGAUUAUUAUGAAUGUCAAUAUCGUGGUUAUGAUCAUUCAGUUAUGUAUGCGUUUUGUAUAUGUACGGAGGAUGUUUUCAUAGUGCCUUUGUCUAUGACAUUUACCCUGUUCCGGCAGUGGCAUUACUUUGUACAGCUGUAUUGAGUAUGGGUUUAACUAAUACGAUGGCUUUAGCUUGUCCAUUUUGAAGGUUAUUUAUUUGGUCUAAAGUGAACAUACACAUUUGUUUGAUUUUG